AGGUGCUGAUCUGAACAAGCAAUGGGAAGGUUUAGAGCCAUCAGCAAGGACUCCUGCCCGUCCGGCUGCGCCCACCAGGGCAGCUGGGUCGCUCCACUUAUGUAAUGAACUGUUUACAGUUCUUGCUUGUGCCCCUUCCAAGAAACCACUAUUAUGACAAGGAAAUUAUCAUAGAAGAAGAACCCCAUUUGCCAAAUCUGCUAACUUUCGGAAGAACCAAAUCUGAGGAAGAGUCAUGCUACGGAUCAAGGACAAAAAAACAAAGAAUACCACUAAGCAACUACUAAAAUAUUUUAAAAGACUUAGAGUACAAAUGUUAGCAAAGAUAUAGAGCAAUUGGAACUCUCAUUCAUUAAUGGCAGAGUAUAAACUUGUCCUACCACUUUGAAAAACUGGCAGUAAAGCUAAGCACACACUUACACUUUGUCCCAACAAUUCCACUCCUGGGUAAGUAUACAACAUAAAUGACUGCAUGUGCCUACAAAAAAAAAA